rnacentral:rRNA from 1 species
CCUACGGGAGGCAGCAGUGGGGAAUAUUGGGCAAUGGGCGCAAGCCUGACCCAGCAACGCCGCGUGAAGGAUGAAGGCUUUCGGGUUGUAAACUUCUUUUGACAGGGAAGAGCAGGAGACGGUACCUGUCGAAUAAGCCGCGGAGCAAUACGUGACAGCAGCCGCGGUCAUACGUAGGUGGCGAGCGUUGUCCGGAUUUACUGGGUGUAAAGGGCGUGUAGCCGGGCUGACAAGUCAGAUGUGAAAUCCGGGGGCUCAACCCGCGAACUGCAUUUGAAACUGGUGGUCUUGAGUAGCGGAGAGGAAGGCGGAAUUCCUAGUGUAGCGGUGAAAUGCGUAGAGAUUAGGAGGAACACCAGUGGCGAAGGCGGUCUGCUGGACGACAACUGACGGUGAGGCGCGAAAGCGUGGGGAGCAAACAGGAUUAGAUACCCCAGUAGUC